ensembl:lncRNA
UAUAUAUAUAUAUAUAUAUAUAUGUAUAUAUAUAUAUAUAUGUGUAUAUAUAUAUAUAUAUAUAUAUAUAUAUAUAUAUAUAUUGGAUACAACUAGAAUCCACCUUGCGGGCUACUCAAUUACCAACACACACACCACCCAGUUGACAAAUCCUUUACCAUCCCCAAAUUGGCUCAUACUACAUACAUAUAAAUGUGUAUAUAUAUAUAUCUUGAAAUAAAUAUUUCUGAGUUCUGUAUCAAUCUGUGUUGAGUUUAUUUAUUUAUUUUUAUUUUUCUUAGGAAGAUGACCGAGCCUUUAAUGUCCUUUGUAAUAUAUGUGCGUAUAAACCAAGAACAAUUUAUUUAUAUCGGUAUUAUAUAAACUGCUUACUAAUGACUAUUAAUUUUGGGAGAAGGCUUUAUAAAGCAUGGACUGACUAUUUAUUAAUGCUUAGCUAAUGAGUGCAGUUAUUAUAAAGUGUUACCAAUGCAUUUACUAAUGUUAACAAAUGAGAUAUUAUUUUACAGUUUUACCAAAUCCAAAAAGUGUUUUGUAAUGAUUUUAUUGACCUAUAAAUUCUGCUUGCAUUACAGGUUUGUCUUCAUGAGAUUAUGUAAAUUCAGACAAAUGACAUGUCACAGGAUGCCAUAGGCAAAUAAAGAGAUGUUUGAGUUUCACUCUCUCUCUCUCUCUCUCUCUCUCUCUCUCUCUCUCUCUCUCUGACACUCAGCGCCCCACCACAGACACACACACACUAAGCACACACACUUAACACAUGACUCACAGUGGUAGAGUGAUCAUUAAAUGUCUGAUUGUUUUUUAAUUUUCUGUUAUCCAUAGAGUGUUGUAUGGUCAUGAAAGUAUGCAUAUUUCCUCAGAAUGACUUGUCUUCUCUAUAAUAAAACAGCAUCUAUACAGAUGUAACUAUAUUAACAUUAACUGUACACUUGAUAAAAAAAGAAAAAUAAACAUAUUACAUUUCAUAUAAAAAAAUCCAAGUGUAUAGUUGUAGAGUUUAAUAUUAUUACAUCUUUAAAUAUUUAUUUUUGUUGUGAUUGUUUAUUUAUUUUUUUAAUUUUUGUAUUAUUAUUUUGUUAGUUUUGUUAGGAAGAGGACUGAGCCUUUAAUGUCCUUUGUAAUAGACGUGCUUAUAAAUCAAGCGCUAGGCUUUUAUAGCUAUAUUUAUAAACUGCUUACUAAGGAUUAUUAAUGUUGGGAUAAAGGUUCAUAAAGGAUGUACUGACUAUUUUUUAAUGCUUACUUAAUGAUUCAUAGAGUGCAGUUAUUAUAAUGUGUUAACAAUGUAUUUAGUAAUGUUUACAAAUUAAACAUUAUUUUAAUGUGUUUCUAAAACCUUUAAUGAUUUAGAACCAUUUAAAAAAAUUAUUGCUCUAUAAGCAUUUGUGAAAUAUUUUUGUUUGCAUUACAGCUUAGUGUUUGUCUGUGAGCUCAAUUGUUUUACUGCAUCCUUGAGAUCCGUGUAAAUUCAGAUAAAUGCAUGUCACUGGAUGUCAUAGGUCAGUAUGAAAUAGAGAAUAAAAGUAUUAUUUGCAGCAAAAAUAUUGUAAUAAAUAAAUGUAGGUGUAUAUUUAAUUUGAUAUGUAUAUGCUAAAAUUAACAUAUUAAAUAACUAAGUUAAAGCUUUUAAAUAACUUAGCAUUUUAAAUGGUUUAACUGAUGUAUAAGCAGUGAAAUAAAUAUUGCAGUUAUAAAUUAAUAGAUUAUCAAGAGUGAAAAACUGAUAUUUUUUCUCCUUUCUCAUACACACGCAAAUACAUAUACACACACACAAUAUAGAAAAGGUUUUAACAUAUUACAUAAAGGUUGUAGUUGCUAACAUUAGUUAACAUUAUCAGUAUAGCUGUAUGAUUCUUAAUAUUUUGGUUGUAUAGAUUUUUUUAUAACAAUAUUUUAAAAUGGAUACUUGAACUACAUUAGUUAAUGUAACAAACUGUCAUGUAUAUUUGUAAUUACUAACAAUAAUAAAUAUUGAAAAAAAAAAUAAAAAGAAAUAAAGAAAUGUUCAUUCUUAGGUAAAGUUAGGUGAUGCAUUAAUUAAUUAUUCUAAAAGAAUGGAAACCUUAUUGUAAGUGUUGGUUAAAUUGAAAUGAUCUUAAUUUUCUUGAUGCAUUUGUGAAAUAAUUUAAUAAUAUUGUAGUAAUAGUAAAGUGUAUUAUAAUUUAUUUUAGGUACUAGUUUUUUAUUAUAAAAAUAUUUAUGAGUCUUUGAUUUGUCUAGUGUCCAGUUUUGGUAUUUUAACUUAAAAUGUUAGCUAAAGAGUUUAUGGCAUUUACUUUUCUGUUAGCCUUUAUAAUCUAAUAAAAUUAUGCGACUAAGUAUGUUUAUGUAGAAUAAUUUGGUAUUUAUUAAAAGGUUUGUUAAACAUUAAGCUUUAAACAUAAGAUAAUUAUUGUGUCGUCUUUUUUCUUAUUUUAAUUAAUAGUGAUGUUAACAUCAGUGAAAAUACCUAUAAUGCUUUGGCAAUUAAAAUUUUUCAAUGUUUUCAAUGUUUUAGCAUGAAAUAUUUUUAUUAAUAAGAGAUUAAGUAAUAUACUUGUGUUGUGGGAGUGUAGUGUGCAAUAUUUUUGUAUUUUAAUGAAAACUGUAAGUCUGAGAAAAAACUAUAAAUUAUAAAGGUGGAAUAGGCAAAUAGUAUGUUAAAUUGUAUGUAAAAAAGUGUAAUUAAAAAGAAAAGAAAAAAGAAAAGAAAAUAAUGUGGUUUAAGAGUAAAUGGAAAUAUAACAAUUUGUAGUUUUAAAAGUAAAAAACAGUGCAGCAUAAAAAGUGUGGUCACAAUAUAAUGAAUGUUAAGCAUUCUGUAGAUCUUUCUGUAGAUGGUUUUGGAGAAGACUUUGUUGCAGCUUGUAUUUCUGAAAAAAGGAAAAGAGGAAGUUAUAAGUAUUUGAUUGAAGAGAUUUGCUGUAGUAAAGGAUAUGUGUAACGAAUUACAGUAUAUUGGAGUGGGAGUGUUUAUUACCUUGAUAGUUGUUAUUCUCAGGUAAGUGUUCAGGUAAUGUUGAAGGGACAUGCUCCGUCUGUGAGGACAUGUCACAUUGUUCUGUAAAAGGAAACAUGUAGGUUUAAUUGCCAUUGUAAAGAACAAAUGUACAGAAAAGGUAAGAUGUAUGAGUACAAAUUAGGAAGUGAGAAAUAAUUACCAUCUUUGAAAAAGUAUUGGGUAGCAGUGUUGAUUUCUGCAGAAGUUAGAGCUUCUGAGAGUUUUUUUUUUCAUGUCUUGUAGUUCUGAACGAAGUGUAGUGACACAUUGCUGGAGAGCCUUGUUUUGGUUGUCACAGUGUGACAUGAUUUUCAUGAUAUUAGUGCCUAGAUUACAAAGUUGUGGUGUUUCGAUGGGGUUGACAGAUGGAUCUUGGCAUUUGUACUAUAGAAAUGGCAAAUAAAAACUUUGUUAAAAUAGUAUGGAUGGUAAUGGUGGAAUUUGUAUGUAGGCUAUGUAGUAGGCUAAUAUUAGUUAAAUAAACAAAGGUAAUAAAGAAUAUGGCUUACAGCAAUGAGUUGGAGGCGGUCAUGAAUUGAUUCAGUCUCAGGGUGGUGUAUUUUGGGGAAUUUUGAUGGUGAGGUGUAGGAAGCCAUAAUCUGGAAGAAAGUAUGUCAUGAAUAAUAAACAAGCAAUAGACAGUAGAUAUGGUAAUAUGUGUGGGACGGUAUAGGUACACUCCAAAAAAUGCUGGAUUGUUUUAAUGAAAUUUUGGGUUAUAUGGACUAACUCAGCUGUUAGAGUUAAUUAA